GUUAACAGAGGUCCUUUUGCUGGUGCAGUUAUAUGACCCUGUUGUAUGGCAUAUACAGAGUUUCAGGUAGCACUUCCAAGGUAAUGAGAAGCACUAGCAUUGUUGCUUGCAAGAAUGCAGCGGCUCUGGUCACAAUUUCUGGUAACAUGGUAUUAUCAAAAGAAUAUUGAUGUGACCCACAAAAUGAAGAACUAGCCAGAGAAUUAAAGAAAAGAAGAAACUGAGAUAGAAUACUAGUGUGCCCAACUCCACUAGUCCUGAAUGUAAUGGGAUUUGUGUCCAGGAGGAUGACCUGUUAAAUAGUUAAGGCUAUAUAGAGAGGAGUCUAAUCGAAAUCCACAGUGCCCACAUGAAAUAAUGUGCCAGAGGCCUAAAGCAUUGAAAACAAAUGAGGUGAGACUGACAGA